rnacentral:lncRNA from 1 species
UUUUACAGGGCCGUAACUACAUUGAGGCAAAUGAGGCAAAUGCCUCAUGCUGGAAAUUUAAAAAAAAAAAAAAAAAUGAAAAAAAAGAUUGUCUUUAUAUCAAAUUGUUUUCACGGAAAGUGUCUUGCAAGAAGCAAGUUUUCUUCACUCCCUGAUGUCGCCCCUGCAUUUUUUUCGUGGUCUGUUUCUAUUUUACUUUUAGUUUUCGGAGUUGGUGGUCUAUUGUUUGUACUUCUGUGUCUCGGAUUUGCCUAUUGUUCUUUUAUUGUCCAACUUUAUGACUAGAGUCUGAGUGUUGUUUUUCAUUUGUAAACGUGUACAAUGUUGCAUGUCCAUCGAUGUCCAGAUAUUGUGCGGGAAAAUAUUUUAACAAUAUGCUGUCGUUUUUUAUAUAGAUUAGACCGUUG